rnacentral:tRNA from 1 species
GAUUGGAUGGUUUAGUGGUUUGAGUGUUGGACUACGAUUCCCAAGACCAGGGUUUGAUUCCCAGCUUGACUG